ACCUCCUGAGACGGGAGGAAGAAGCUCAGGGCUGUGCUAAGUGAGUAGCCUGGUCAACUGACUUCUCCAGAUUCCAAAAGGCCUCGGCCAGCAAUACCUAGUCAGCUCAAGGCGGACACUGGGCCCUUUGUGAGGUAAGAGAAGCAGCUAACAUUGUCAGGGAGACAGACAGCAGGACUCCUGCAGGAGCUCCACCCCCAGCCAAUGAGUGAUUCACCGCCCUGCUCAACCUUCAACCAGACUGAUUCUGCACAUUGUCUACCAACUCUUCAGUGUCGUAUCACUCCUGUCCAAACUUGCUGCUGAUCCCUGAUUCCAAGUCCCAGCCCUUUAUUAACAUUUAUUUUAAGGGGCUUCAUUGGGCUCUCCCUUGCAUCCUGGAAACAUCCUUCACACUGACUGAGCUUACUGAAGCAAAGCUCCGGAGCCUUUCAGGGCUUGGACUUCUAUAUGCAGUAAAGCUCCCAGUCUUGACCUUAUCCAUCAGAUUCCUCCCUCCACUUCCACAUGUUUUGUUCAGAAAUUAUUUCAGGAACACCAUCCUAGUCUUAACAAACACAGUUUUUUCUCUCU